ACAAAAUGGAUGCUGCUGAACCCUUCAAUGUUCCUGUUAAUCCUGAAGCUCUGGGAAUUCCUGUAAGCACAAUAUGAAUUUGUACUUGGCUAUUGUUGUUCAUUUGGAGCUUCUUUAGAUCCAAGCAAAGAAAAUUUGAGCAAAGGUUAUUUGUGAUGCAUGGAGAGCCAGUCCCUACAAACAAGAGACACAAUGCUGCC